rnacentral:rRNA from 1 species
UACGUAGGUGGCAAGCGUUGUCCGGAAUUACUGGGCGUAAAGGGCGCGCAGGCGGCUCAUUUUGUCAGGCGUGAAAGCCCCGGGCUUAACCUGGGAGGUGCGUUUGAUACGGAUGGGCUAGAGUUCGGGAGAGGAGAGUGGAAUUCCCAGUGUAGAGGUGAAAUUCGUAGAUAUUGGGAAGAACACCGGUGGCGAAGGCGGCUCUCUGGACCGAGACUGACGCUGAGGCGCGAAAGCGUGGGGAGCAACAGG